GGCUGGAUGAGUAGCCUUAGAAAAAAACUGAGGCCUGGCAUCUCAGAUCAUCAGAGACAAGGCUAGAAAUGGGACCUUGGUCUGUUCCAGCCCAGAGCUCCUGGUAUUACCAGUGUGCUACCCUGUGUGAAGCAUAUAACUUUUUGUUGAAGCUUCAAAAAAUAUGGACUGGGAAUGAGGCUACCAAGAACAAAGUAAAAGGAUUUAUAUGUACGGAAAUAUCAUAAUGAAACCCAUUUUUGUGUGCACAGAAAGUUUAAAAAGCAUUACAUGACUAAUAUGAUUGGAAUUCUGUAGUAUUCAGCAGACAUUGUUAGAACUGUACUGUAGCAUAAGUCUUGCUUUUCUGCAACAAACCUCUGGAAGACCAGGAAGCACCAGCCAGGGAGAGGAAAUUGUUGCCUGGACCCAUCAAAGAGGAUGCCACCAAAAUGAUCCUUCAGGGUACUGUGGGCUUGGUGUGGAAUUAUCUUCAUUUUUAUUGCUUCAGUUCUUUUCUGCUGGUGGGAAAACCAUGUAGGAUUCUUCCCUGGGCUUCCUGCAGAGACAACAAAUGACCCAAGGCCAAAGACACUGCCAGUAAAUAAAGGGAAAGGAUCCAUGGGCAGAACAGGCAGUCAGGAAUGGCUGAGACCUCACACCUUAAUCCACAAGAAGGAGGAGCUGGAGGAUGCAGUUCUCUGAGAGCAGUUGAGCCUGAGCAUAAAAGCCCAUCAAUAAGGAGCAGGUGACAGUGCCACAGCUGGGUAAUUUGUCUCUGUGCUCUUCUGCAGCCUAUUCGCUGAUGAUCUAUUUGUCCCAGGGAAUAGAUGGUGGCAGGCCUGAAAAGGGAGGAUAUGCUGAGCUUGAGGACUGAGUCCAAUUCAAAUCAUUAAGUUGGACCUCCUGCAAAACCUAAAUGUAGUAACCUGCUUCCAAUAUGCACUUGGCAUUCUUGGAUGUUGGCAUUCACAUACUUGGCACUAGGAAUUGAACCUA
rnacentral:lncRNA from 1 species